rnacentral:rRNA from 1 species
CGUAACAAGGUUUCCGUAGGUGAACCUGCGGAAGGAUCAUUAUCCAUCUCAAACCAGGUGCGGUCGCGGCCCCCGGGGGCUUGCUCCCGGGUGGUAGGGGUAACACCCUCACGCGCCGCCUGCCUGUACCCUCUUUUUACGAGCACCUUUCGUUCUCCUUCGGCGGGGCAACCUGCCGCUGGAACCAAAACAAAACCUUUUUUGCAUCUAGCAUUACCUGUUCUGAUACAAAUAAUCGUUACAACUUUCAACAAUGGAUCUCUUGGCUCUGGCAUCGAUGAAGAACGCAGCGAAAUGCGAUAAGUAGUGUGAAUUGCAGAAUUCAGUGAAUCAUCGAAUCUUUGAACGCACAUUGCGCCCCUUGGUAUUCCAUGGGGCAUGCCUGUUCGAGCGUCAUCUACACCCUCAAGCUCUGCUUGGUGUUGGGCGUCUGUCCCGCCUCUGCGCGCGGACUCGCCCCAAAUUCAUUGGCAGCGGUCUUUGCCUCCUCUCGCGCAGCACAAUUGCGUCUGCGGGGGGGCGUGGCCCGCGUCCACGAAGCAACAUUACCGUCUUUGACCUCGGAUCAGGUAGGGAUACCCGCUGAACUUAA